AUAUGCUGUUCUAUACUAACUUCAAUUCUUGUUUCUUCUCUUAGAGUCCUCAAGAAGACUUUAAAGAUCUCCUCCUCCAUUCCAUGUCCCUUAUUUGACACAACACUCCCAAAAAUAUUUCAAUCAUGCUUGAUCUCUUCACACAAACAAUACUACCUUAGGUAAGGAAGAACAAGAAAGCACAAACAACCUAGAGUUGACAACUCUGUGAUUUAUACUUUAUAUUCCCUACUCCCUUACUCAAUUUUCCUUAUAAGGUCCUUCAAGUCCCUCG
rnacentral:lncRNA from 1 species